rnacentral:misc_RNA from 1 species
AAGUCGUAACAAGGUUUCCGUAGGUGAACCUGCGGAAGGAUCAUUAACACUUUUUAAUUAAAUUUCUUUUUCUAGAAAUUUAUAAAACCCCACAAUUUUGGAUGAAUUUAAUUAUUUAAUUUUAAUUUUUUUUAAAUUUUUUUUUAUAUAACUAAAAAUAUUUUGGACUAAAAUCUUUUUUUAUAAAUUUUUAUAUAAUUUAAAAAACAACUCUUAACAACGGAUAUCUUGGCUCUC